CGCUAGCCUGGAGGUCGGGUGUUCGAUCACUGCAUUGGCCGAGAAAGUUCAUCCCGAUUUUCCGACAUGGUUUCCCCUUGUCAGUGAUGCAGGACGGAGGGCCUGACAAGGACAGCUGUCUAGUCCUUCGGAUAAGACGAAAAACCGAGGUCCCGUGGCAGUUGGAAUUCGAUAUAAGAGUAGGCGAUAGUGCCGCUGCUCGGGCAAAAAUUCCCUAAUAGCACACUGUAUGGCGUAUGCCCGUCUUCAUUAGCCCAGUAUAGGAGCAGAACAGUAGGACAUUAAACCCCAUUUCAUUUCAUUUACAUUUACAUGUGGAUGAUGCAGUAUAAAACUUCUAAAAAGGGCAGUGGCUAAAUACCACGCUCCAAAAUACCACGUUCGUCCCCAUUGGGGGUGGGGGUGGAUGGCCGAAUGGUUAGCACGUGUGCGCUGUAUCAUGGGUCAACUGGCAUGGUUUCGAUUCCCCGGUUGUAUGUGACAAGAAGUAGGGUCGCCUGUCCAACCUCGUGGGUUUUCUCAGGGUCCCCCCCCCCCCCCUGGAAAUUUUGGAUAAUGGAUUUGCACCGGAGGAGAGAACUACGAAAAUAACAGAGAAUUUCAAUUUGUGACAUUGGCGUAUUACGUAAUUUUGAUAUCAACAUUAUAAAAAUUGGAAGGAAGGAAUACGACCUUAGCGUACCUAUGAUAAUUUAUCAAAAUAACAAAAAGUUCGGAAUCGGGUCAGGGAGAUUUCGUCAUGGACGGCUCACCAAUCUUGGCAUUAUGGGCGCCCAUCCGAUAUGAGUUACCCCACCAAUCAUGCCGUUUUAAGUGCCCCAUUGAUAAAGUCAUUAGCGCCCAACCAAUCUCACUCGGCAUUAGGCAUUAUGUGCGGCUCGACAAUCAUAUAUUGUCAUUAAAAAGCACCCCACCAAUCAUUUUGUGGUGUUAAUCGUGUAAUUCAUUAUGAGGCACCCCACCAUUUGGGGGUACCUCAUAUAACGGCAUGAUUGGCGAGGUGCCCAACCAAUGCCCCCACCCUCCUCCCCGCUAGCUACAGGCCUGGUGUCUUUCAUCCUGUGUUUGGUCUCAGUUUAUUUAGUCAUUCAGUUAACUCAGUUCUUUAAAUAGUAUUUUUCAACCAGUGUGGAGUGUGUAGAAAUCAAUAACUAUUGUGUACAGGUGGUAAAAUAUAAGGCAUUUUACAAUUUUUGUGUAUAUUAAUUUUUAAUAUUUUUAGUGUAGCACAUGUUAGUCAGCACUUUUAACAUUCUAAACUUCAUCAGUCGAUUUCUUUAAGCUGUUACUUUUAACUCAAGUUUCGUUGUUUCUUGGUCAUGUGAUGUAUUUGUUGGUAGAUACAUUCAGUUGUUAACCGUCUUUCUUUCAAAGAGGAACUUUAACAAAGUCAUUUUUAAAUUUAGUUUUUAAUGAUUGAUUUCUUUGGAAUAUUGGUAAAGAUUUGCAGUUAUUUACCAGGUUGUUAGGUUGUAUAUAUAUAAACUGAGUAUUUAAAACCCCACUUUGGGGAUUUUAUUGCUUUCCUGGUUUAUACGAUAAUAAAGUAUUGAACCCGUUCUGGAUUGUUAUAACAACCCCCAGACCCCUCUACAACAUUGGAGCCCAAUAAGUUUGCUGAAGAGAACAUCUGUCGGAGUCAACCAGCUUAUGGUGGAUAAUUAUUGGUGAAAAUUCGUCUUCAGCGAUAGAAUUAAUCAACCUAAAACGUGAAUUGUUGCUGUGUUCUGCGAACUUUUUUAUCUGUGCAGAUGUUUGGGCCACCUAAGUUUGUUUUGGAAGAGUAUGCAGGCAAUGCAAAGCAGUAUGGUUGGUGGAUGCAGAAUGGUGGACACAGAUGGAAGAGGAUCCAAGCAAGGCAGUAUAGUUAUCUGUUUGGACGAUUUGGAAUAAUAGUAGAGUACAGUUUUUCUGAGUGAUUUUCUUGAGGGUAGUGGCAGGCUGUAGACUAAGCGGCUCUCAAUUCUGGAGAUAAGACCAGCUGAAAAGCCCAGUUCAGUAGGAAUUAAGUUAAUUUGAAUUUCCCAAUCCAAAUAAAUUAUUAUGUAUUGUAUAUAGUAUGUAAUAUAUGGUAAAUAAAUAUAGUUUAAACU